rnacentral:misc_RNA from 1 species
GUAGAAUUGGGGGAAGAGUUGCUAGAACGUCGUAAUAGGCGUUGGUGAUUGAUUUGAAGAGGAAUGAUAUGCUGUGGAUGUUACCAGGUGCGUCGAGAAGAAGAAGACGGGAACCAGCUAACGGGUGGUCGGCUCUUCUAGAAACUUCUAGAACCCGGAUGUAGUUGUGCCUGGACUUGAAUUUGACUAGGGUUUUGAUAUGUUCCAUGGGGAUUCCAUCAUCUUGUUCUUGUUGCUGUUG